GACGUAGGGCGCAAGCGUUGUCCGGAUUUAUUGGGCGUAAAGAGCUCGUAGGCGGCUGGUCGCGUCGACUGUGAAAACCCGCGGCUCAACCGUGUGGUCUGCAGUCGAUACGGGCAGACUAGAGUUCGGUAGGGGAGUCUGGAAUUCCUGGUGUAGCGGUGAAAUGCGCAGAUAUCAGGAGGAACACCGGUGGCGAAGGCGGGACUCUGGGCCGAUACUGACGCUGAGGAGCGAAAGCCAGGGGAGCAAACGGG
rnacentral:rRNA from 1 species